rnacentral:rRNA from 1 species
UACGUAGGGGGCUAGCGUUGUUCGGAAUCACUGGGCGUAAAGCGCACGUAGGCGGACCUUUAAGUCAGGGGUGAAAGCCUGGAGCUCAACUCCAGAACUGCCUUUGAUACUGGAGGUCUCGAGUGUGGAAGAGGUUGGUGGAACUGCGAGUGUAGAGGUGAAAUUCGUAGAUAUUCGCAAGAACACCAGUGGCGAAGGCGGCCAACUGGUCCAUUACUGACGCUGAGGUGCGAAAGCGUGGGGAGCAAACAGG